rnacentral:rRNA from 1 species
UCGCCCUGGUUUUACAAAAACAUGUCUUCUUGUAUAAAUUAAAUAAGAAGUUGAACCUGCCCAGUGAAGAUUUUUAACGGCCGCGGUACUCUGACCGUGCUAAGGUAGCAUAAUAAUUUGUCUUAUAAUUGAAGGCUAGUAUGAAUGGUUUGACGAGAGUAUAGCUGUCUCUAUGUGAUUAAAUAGAAUUUUAUUUAUAGGUGAAGAAGCCUAUAUCAUAUUAAAAGACAAGAAGACCCUAUCGAGCUUUAAAAAAAUUAAUAGACACUAAUUAAUAUUAAAUAAAAAUAACCUAUUAAAAAUUUUAGUUGGGGCGACUAAGGAACAAACAAAGCUUCCUUAAUUAUAAAAUCUCAUAAGUAUUGAUCCAAAAUUUUUGAUUAAAAAAAUUAGUUACCGUAGGGAUAACAGCAUUAUCUUUUUUGAGAGCUCAUAUCGAAAAAAAGGUUUGUGACCUCGAUGUUGGACCAGAAUAUCCUAAAGAUGCAGCAGUCUUUAAGGGUUGGUCUGUUCGACCAUUAAAAUUCUACGUGAUCUGUU